CAACUUUUUUCAACAAGAAAAAAUAUGAAAACCCAUGGACAAUCCCAAAUAUGUUGUCAAUGACAAGAAUUGGCUUGGCCCCAGUUCUGGGCUAUUUGAUUAUUGAAGAAGAUUUUAAUAUUGCACUAGGAGUUUUUGCUUUAGCUGGGCUAACUGAUUUGUUCCACUUACUUAUAUGAUAAUUUCAAGAGAUGUAAUGUUGAUUGCUGCUGUUUUUUAUGUCAGAUAGCGAACUCUUCCAACACCGCGAACACUUGCUAAGUAUUUCAACCCUUGCUAUGCUACUGCUAGGUUAAAACCAACAUUCAUCAGCAAGGUAAACACAGCAGUCCAGUUAAUCUUGGUGGCAGCUUCUUUGGCAGCUCCAGUUUUCAAUUAUUCUGACAGCAUUUAUCUUCAGAUGCUGUGGUGUUGUACAGCCCUCACCACAGCUGCAUCAGCUUAUAGUUAUUAUCAUUAUGGUCGGAAAACUAUUCAGGUGAUAAAGGGCUGAUGAAAGUCAUCCAUCACCAUUAGCAAGGAAACAGAAUACGUCAUCGGCAGCAGGGCCCGUGGAAAUCUACAGGAGUUUCCUAGUUUUGGUGUUCAGUUUGUAGAAGGACUUGUCAGAACAAACCAUGUCAUCAAAAUUUAAGUAAUGUACAUUGAAAAUACGCUUGAUCAUGUGAUCAUGGGCAUAUGCAGAAUUUUCAAUGUAUUUUUAAAUGCAAAUAAAACUACAAUUUAGAAUUUU